GCUGAGCCCAGCUUGCUGGGUGGAUGAGUGGCGAACGGGUGAGUAACACGUGAGUAACCUGCCCCCUUCUUUGGGAUAACGCCCGGAAACGGGUGCUAAUACUGGAUAUUCACUGGCCUUCGCAUGGGGGUUGGUGGAAAGGUUUUUUCUGGUGGGGGAUGGGCUCGCGGCCUAUCAGCUUGUUGGUGGGGUGAUGGCCUACCAAGGCUUUGACGGGUAGCCGGCCUGAGAGGGUGACCGGUCACAUUGGGACUGAGAUACGGCCCAGACUCCUACGGGAGGCAGCAGUGGGGAAUAUUGCACAAUGGGCGAAAGCCUGAUGCAGCGACGCCGCGUGAGGGAUGACGGCCUUCGGGUUGUAAACCUCUUUCGCUCAUGGUCAAGCCGCAACACUUGGUUGUGGUGAGGGUAGUGGGUAAAGAAGCGCCGGCUAACUACGUGCCAGCAGCCGCGGUAAUACGUAGGGCGCGAGCGUUGUCCGGAAUUAUUGGGCGUAAAGGGCUUGUAGGCGGUUGGUCGCGUCUGCCGUGAAAUCCUCUGGCUUAACUGGGGGCGUGCGGUGGGUACGGGCUGACUUGAGUGCGGUAGGGGAGACUGGAACUCCUGGUGUAGCGGUGGAAUGCGCAGAUAUCAGGAAGAACACCGGUGGCGAAGGCGGGUCUCUGGGCCGUUACUGACGCUGAGGAGCGAAAGCGUGGGGAGCGAACAGGAUUAGAUA
rnacentral:rRNA from 1 species